rnacentral:rRNA from 1 species
AUUGAACGCUGGCGGCAUGCCUUACACAUGCAAGUCGAACGGUAACAGGUCUUCGGAUGCUGACGAGUGGCGAACGGGUGAGUAAUACAUCGGAACGUGCCCGAUCGUGGGGGAUAACGAAGCGAAAGCUUUGCUAAUACCGCAUACGAUCUACGGAUGAAAGCAGGGGACCGCAAGGCCUUGCGCGAACGGAGCGGCCGAUGGCAGAUUAGGUAGUUGGUGGGAUAAAAGCUUACCAAGCCGACGAUCUGUAGCUGGUCUGAGAGGACGACCAGCCACACUGGGACUGAGACACGGCCCAGACGCCUACUGGAGGCAGCAGUGGGGAAUUUUGGACAAUGGGCGGAAGCCUGAUCCAGCCAUGCCGCGUGGAGGAUGAAGGCCUUCGGGUUGUAAACUGCUUUUGUACGGAACGAAAAGACUCUGGUUAAUACCUGGGGUCCAUGACGGUACCGUAAGAAUAAGCACCGGCUAACUACGUGCCAGCAGCCGCAGUAAAAC